AACCCAUGGUGAGGGCACUUUCUCAAUAGAUCUUUGUAUCUCUCCCAUGCAUUAUAAAGGGUUUCUAAAUCCAUCUGCACAAAAGAAGAGAUAUCAUACCUUAGUUU
rnacentral:snoRNA from 1 species